CACGUAGGGACCAAGCGUUGUCCGGAUUUAUUGGGCGUAAAGAGCUCGUAGGCGGUUUGGUAAGUCGGGUGUGAAAACUCAGGGCUUAACCCUGAGACGCCACCCGAUACUGCUAUGACUUGAGUCCGGUAGGGGAGUGGGGAAUUCCUGGUGUAGCGGUGAAAUGCGCAGAUAUCAGGAGGAACACCGGUGGCGAAGGCGGGUCUCUGGGCCGAUACUGACGCUGAGGAGCGAAAGCGUGGGGAGCGAACAGG
rnacentral:rRNA from 1 species